UGGCCAGGAUGAUCUUGAUCUCCUGACCUCGUGAUCUGCCCACCUCGGCCUCCCAAAGUGCUAGGAUUACAGGCGUGAGCCACCUUGCCCGGCCUUCUAUUCCUUUUUCUAAUGCAUUUGCCCCAGCUAUCUGUAUAGCCUGCAAUCUGGUAGAUGGACCACAGGGAAACCACUGCAGCAAACUAAAAGUGUCUAUCUCAGAUCCUUCCACCACCAUCAUUUCCAAAAUCACCGUCACUAUCUCCACCACCAUCACCUUUACCACCAUCACCACUAUCAUCCUCAUCCUUCCCAUCACCAUCUCCACUGCUAUCUCUCAACACCAUCAUCAUCACCACCACCACCAUCAUCACCAUGAGCACCACCUCUGUCGUCAUCAAAAAAGCACACAGUUCAGGCUGGCCUGUUGGAGGAUAACAGAUCAUGUGGAGCAGAGACGAGCUGGCCCACCUCAGGCCCUACCAGAGCAAUCAGCUUGCCAAACACGACAUACAUCAGCGAGGCCAUCCUAGACCAUCCAGCCCUAGCUGAGCCAGCCCAGACCAGAGACUCAUGAGAAACAGUAAAAUGUUCAUCAUUU
rnacentral:lncRNA from 10 species